rnacentral:rRNA from 1 species
GAUGAACGCUAGCGGCAGGCCUAACACAUGCAAGUCGAGGGGCAGCGCGGGUAGCAAUACCUGGCGGCGACCGGCGCACGGGUGAGUAACGCGUAUGGAACCUACCCUCCGCAGGGGGAUAGCCCGCCGAAAGGCGGAUUAAUACCCCACGGACCCUAGGAGCGGCAUCGCUCUCAGGGUAAAGGAGCAAUCCGGCGGGGGAUGGACAUGCGUGCCAUUAGCUAGUUGGCGGGGUAACGGCCCACCAAGGCGACGAUGGCUCGGGGGUCUGAGAGGAUGGUCCCCCACACUGGUACUGAGACACGGACCAGACUCCUACGGGAGGCAGCAGUGAGGAAUAUUGGUCAAUGGGCGGAAGCCUGAACCAGCCAUGCCGCGUGCAGGAAGACGGCCCUACGGGUUGUAAAGCUCUUUCAGCCGGGAAGAAAACGCACGCUCUAACAUAGCGUGUGGAUGACGGUACCGGACCAAGAAGCACCGGCUAACUACGUGCCAGCAGCCGCGGUAAG